AAGAGUUCAAAACUUUUCUCUGAAUCUAAGGGUUGCAACUCGUGGAGAGAGAAAUCCUCUCCUAUGUAUCUGCCUACAUGAUCAUAUCGAGAAGUGAUAAUUAUCCUACUGCCAAUUUUUGAAUCACAUUCAGGACGAAGGACACGGUUCAGAGCAUCCCAAAUUUUAGUAUCCCAAAUGUCAUCUAAGAGAAUAACAUACCUUUUUGUUUCCAAAAGUGAUCGUAGAUUGUCCUCCAAGUGUUCUUUCCUUUCCUCCUCCGUCAGUCCAACUUGCUUGGCUAUGUCAAGUAAGAUUUCUCCUGCUCUUGGCUGUUGUGAAACGUAGACCAGUGCAGAACACUCAAAUUGUUGACGGACAUGCCUAUAAAGUUUCUUGGCAAGAGUUGUUUUUCCUAGACCGGGCAUGCCAACUAUUGAAACAACUCCAUUACACAAAUCUUGAACAAGCAAUUUGUCUUGGAGCUUAUUGAAGUCAUCAUCCAAACCGAUGACCUCUGUUUCAUCAGCAUGAAGGAAUUUUCUUCUCUGUUCCAUUGGAAUGCAAUCAUUAUUGUUGUUACUUGUGUCUGUGAUGUUGAAAGUUGUCCUUAAACUAUCAAUGUCAGCAACCCUUCUUCUUAUCUUCUCAAUCUCCAUAGCAAACUCAUCGGCAAAAGAAACCGUCUUAAGGCAACAAAUUGCGCCUUUGAACUUAUUGGAUUGUUGGAUUUUUGGAAGAAACUCAUCUAAGAGAUCCUCUACAUCACCUGCCAAUUCUUGAAUAUCUUUUAAUAAGUUUUUGACCCUUGAAUCGCCUCCAACUUCCUUGGCCUUUGCAUCGUCUACAUAUGAUCGAAUGUGUCUCAGUACUCUCUGGAGCCAAUCGAUGUCCUCUUUCAAAAAAUUCAAGCGGCUCCCUUCUUGAAAGAGUAGAUUUGCAGCUAUUUCUACAGAUUUAUUGAUGACUGCUGUAAGAAGAAUUUCAGCCAUCUCCUUUAAUUUUUCGUUAAAUUUCUUUUUUCUAAAUGUGAGGAUGAGGAAGGGAAAGUAAGAGAAAAAGGAUAAAGAAAGAUGUACUAUUUGCUUUAGUGUUGGAGUCAACGGCCCAAGUCUUGUAAACACAAUAAUUCAUCUUUUGUUAAUCAUGUUAGCUGGUAUUUCGUUUUCAAGCAUGAAUAACAAACGUUGAAAGUUAGAAUAUUCAGGCAGUACUACGCGUAAAACGAAAUUAGAAAGAAGGAGAUAAUUGGUAAAGGAAAAGAAAGGUCAGCUUAGAAUAGUUGGAGUCCACUGCCAAGUCUCCUAAUAAUGUCAAGUAAAAGAAAAACGAAAGAACAAAGGAACAACACAUGCUGUGGAUAAGAUACUAGUAGAAUAGUCAAAAGAAAUUACACCGUUCGUCCCAAUUUAAGUGUCAUUCAAUUAAAUUCGACAUGAAAUUUAAGAAACAAACAGUAACUUUUAAUAUUUUGUGGCUGAUGAUUGAUAAUGUACCUUUUUUUGAAAAAAUUAUGUAACUAAGCAAACAUCUUUAGUAUAUAACUAUCAAUCACACCAUAUGUUUAAAAAAAAUUAUUAUAUAUUUAGACGCCAUUUUAUGUUUCCUAACUGUUUGAUGAACGUCUUGCAAAACUUUACCCAAUUUGGUUCAUGGCUGUGAGUUUGGGCUAUUAUGAGACUCAAUUUGUAUGUUCCAUGAAAUUAAAUUAGGCUUUUAUGCAAUUUGAUUCUCUCAAAAUCUUUUGCCAUACUCAUACAGAGUGGGCGUUCGGUUCGAUAUUUAUUUAACUUUGAUUUGAUUUGAUCGUGAGACAUCAUCAUAAUGAUUCGAGUAGAAUGGUCGGAAUUUCUUCACUUUUUUGGUAAGGAGUGUUCUGUUCUAAAUUUUACUGAUUCGACUAAUUCAAAUUUGUAUCACAUAAUACCGAUUUAAGAAAGAAAUACUUUUUAUCAAAAAAAAAUCAUUUUCAAAGCUCGAAUUGAUUUUUUGUUGGUUUCAUUAUGUGUAAUCUUCAAGUCCUUGUGGUAUCACAACACAAGUUAGGAUAUUUGGAGGUUAUUUCACAAGAACUUACAACAAGAAAAGGAAAAACAAAGAUAUAAUUUGAGGAAAUAUGAAAGUCUUGCAUUAAAGUUAAAAAAAAGUAGUAGUUGUUUGCUCGUGAAAUUCAAAUAUUUUUCACUAAAAUUUAUAGAAUUGAAAUUGAAAAUAGAGUUGGGUUUAAAUUAUUUUUUUAUUGCGAAUGAAACAACCGAACGAUUGGAGAUUGGAGAAUUUUACCAUCAAACUACUUUUGAAAUAAAGUGAAAAAUUAUUUCAAAAAAAAAUAUAAAUAAUUCACAUAACAUCCUAAAAUAGCUUUCUCAAUCUCAACAAUUGCUCAUUUAUAAACUACGGAAAAAGGUCAAAACUGCCCUUGCACUAUGUGAAAUAGACCACUUAUACCCUCCGUUACAUUUUACGAUAAAAAAUGCCCGUUGUUAUCCUAAGAGACCACAAUUACCCUUAAAACUUAACAGAAAUGAUACAUGACACUAAUUCCACCACCUAGGCCUGCCAACUAGGAUACUCACUAAAUAUUUUGACCCAAUUAAUAAUUCAACCCUAACCCAUUUUUAUUGGACCCAAUCCACUAAAAUUAAGAGGGAAACAUCAUCUUUUUUUCACCUCAUUCCGUUUUACUAUUAAAUUCACCAAGGACGAUUUUUUGAAGACUUUUACGAGCUUAGCUUACUUGGACCAUGAUUGUGUGCCGCCAUAGAUUUAAAAACUAUGCUCUGGCACCAUUCUAUGCUUAGAAAGCUUGGGCUUGUGUUUUAUGUGGCUUUCCAAAAAAAUUUUGAGAAGCUCCACUUUUGUGAUGAUUAUACCCCACAACCACAAGUUUCUACGUUUUUAGCUUGUCGUCUAGCGGAUUAGCACUACGACAAAUAUAGGAGGGUGAUUGAUAAAAUGUGAAUACAAGAUUAUAAACAUGUAGGGGCAUAUCAAUGUUGCAUCCAUUUGUCUCUUACAGUGAUGAAUUUCAAUGAUUUUGGUUAUAAAGUAUAACACCAUAGAACCAUAAAGUUAAAUUUUCAAGCUUAUGUAUCUUUUCUAGUCCAUUGUGUCAUUAGAUUUUAAAGCUAGCAUUCCUAAGGUAGAGAUGUAAGGUAAACAAAAUAUUUUGCAGGCAAGAGAAACAAAUUAUAUAAAAAUCUUUUGCUUCCCCUGCUUAUUUACAACUAAUUUAUCAAUGAGUUAUUACUUUAAUUUCUUCCCUGGUUUUUUAUAACUUCAUCAAUGUACAUAUAUAUAUAUAUACUUUUGCCUUCAUAAACUUUGGGAGGUUUACAACUCCUUAAAAAAACAGCAAAUUGUUGUACCUUCUCCUCGUUAAUUCUGGCGCAACAUUUAAUACUGGGUUUGAAACAGAACAUGUGGACUGCAGAUGGAACGGUUAGUUCAACCUCAUGGCUACAACCAAGCUUGAAGUAUAUAGAAGGUUUUGUCCUUACGAUUUGGACAAUAUUCAAAACUUUCAAAAUCUUUCAUCAUGACAAAACAUUAAGGAGUGAGUACGUUCUGGUUGUUGGCAUGUGAUUAAGAGGUUAGUAUGGAUCGAGUUUUGAAAAUAGACUCUUAUAAAAAAUACUAAUAAAAUUACAUAUAAUAGAUUCUUGUGAUCCAUCUCUUCUUUGGACUCCGCAUAUAACCGGAAUUUAGUACACAUGGUUAAUAAGUUAUUUAUUUUUUUAUUAUCUUUUUGCAUAAUUGAGAUGCCACUUUUGCUCAUUUUAUAUUCCCUGCUAGUAGAAUUUAAGAAGGUUUACAUGAUUUAUCCACUCUUACAAUCCUAUAUUUCAAGACCUGUAUUAUUUUUAUUGACUAAACAUGGAUAAUGAUAACUACUGUCAAUACUAAUAAAAAUGUUUUCCACGUUAGAGUUGUGGGUUCGAGAAUAGCAGGCUUUAAAUUUGGUAGUUGGAGAAAUGCAUUGCAAGUUAUUUAUAAUGUGGUUCUAUCGUCUACAUUGAGGUGUGAAUAAUUUUGCAAUAAAUUAUUCUAUCCGUUUAUUUUAACUUAUUACAUUUCGUUUUGAGAUUCAAACUAUAUGAAUUUGGAUCAAUAUUUUAAGAUGAAUAAUUUUGCAAUAAAUUAUUACAUCCGUUUAUUUCAACUUAUUACGUUUCAUUUUUUGAGAGUCAAACUAUAUGAACUUUGAUUAACAUUUUAAGAUGAAUAUUUUUGCAAUUAAUUAUUCUAUCCUUUUAUUUUAACUUAUUACGUUUCGUUUUUUGAGAGUUAAAUGAUAUAUAUAUGAACUUUGAGAUGUAUUUUUUCAUCAUAUUAAUAUGAGAAAGAUUGAUCAUAUAUAGUUUUUAAAUAUUUAAAUUUAAAAUUUAAAAUAUUGAGUGAAUUUUAUUCAAUUUGACUCUCAAAGUUAAUCAAAUUAACUCUCAUGAAACAUGACAAAUAAAUCCAUUUUCUUGGUUUUCCACCCGGUACUCACAUCCAAAUCGUUCCACGCAUAUUCAGAAUUAUGGAGUAUUAAAUGAAAUAUUUAGUUCAUGAACUAACUAGUACAAAUUUUUUAAAAUCACCUUAUCGAGCAUAUUAAAUGUAAAUAGUUAACGCAGUAAACUAACCUGUGAGAUUUUCAUAUUCUCAGCUUUGCAAGCCGUUUGGAAAGACUUAUUAGGGAACGGAGUCUUACAAGUAAUAGCAAUAUUACCGAGAUCACCAAAUGCAUUGUGCUCGGUGUGAGAGGUUGCAUGAAAUUUCUUUGUCUAGCUUUUCUCAUUGGAACACCUUUUACGAUCAGAAGAUUCUCUCCAACACAGACUUAAAUCAUUUUCAAAGGCAUCCCUGCAAUUUAUUAGAGAUGGAAUAUUUAGUUGAUGAACUAAAUACAAAUUUCAAAAAAUCAUGGAUAUUAAACGUAAAUAAUUAUUUAUAGUACCUGUGAGAUUUUUAUAUUCUCAACAUUGCAAGCCGUUCCGAGACCCUGAGACUAAUUGGGGAAUAAAUGAUUGGGCCUUGUACAAGUAAUAGCUUUUUCAAUUUAGGCAUACUCAUAUCAUCCAUGCACGUUAUUUCAGACAACCCGCGUGCAUCCUCAAUAUGCAGAACUUCAAGUUGCGGAAAGCUAUCACCAGAGAGAUCCAUUUUUUCUGCAUCAUGGCUGCACCUAAGCAAUGUAAGUAUCCUUAAUUUGGGCAAUUUCUUAAGCACUGCCAAUAGAUGACCGUCUACCAUCAAGCCGACAAGAUUAAGCUUGACAAGAUUUGGAGGGAAUGCUUCAAUGUUCAAGAGCAUUGCUGAGAAACCAAACAAACCCAACUCGACAAUAUUUGGAUGGGACGACAAGUUUAUUUGCUCACUCGUGUUCUUGAAAAUUCUGAGCUUCAGAACCUCCAACGCUUUAGGCACAGGGCUCAAUGCUGAUAAUAUCUUAAUGGUAGAACCGGAUACAUCCUUUAUACACAAUGUUCUUAAAUUUAUCAAUCGGUGCAACAAUCUCGGUUCACAAAAUUUAUCAUCCACCCACAUCAAAGUUUGUAGAUUAUUACGAGGCAAUGAGUACACGUUUGGAAAAAAUGGGUUUAUACAAAAGUAAUUGUAAGGUGCUAGAUUAUAACCUAUAGAACGAAGAUGUCUCAAUUGUGUAGACUUCCAAACACCAGUAGGAAGUUUAAUAAAGAAGCUUUUACCAAUAUCUAGGGUCUCUAGAUGUUUGAGCUUCACCAUACAAUUUGGCAGUUUCCCAUCAGGGUCUCUAGACAUUUGAGCUUGACAAUACUAUUUGGCAAUUUUACUCUAAUUCUCCCCUCCAAUCGCACAUAGCGUAGGCAACUCAUGUUCCCAAUUUUGUUUGGGAUAGUAAUUACAUGCUGAUAACGAUCUCGAGACGUGACUACAACCAACACUUGCAAUAAUUUGAAAUCAAGAUGAGCCAGUUGAGAAAAUAUGCAAGGGUCUUCUGUAAAACAGAAAAGUGCACGAAGCUUCUCAAGCUUAGUAUUUGAACGGAAGAACUCAUUCAUGGCAUUAUUAUCAGAGUAGAAUGUAAUCCUUCGCACCCUAGCAACAUUGCUGGGAUCACCAAAUGCAUUGUGCUCGGUGUGAAAGAAGUUACUUUCCUUAGCCAAAUCCACACACAAACUAUGUAACAAGUCAUGUAUGCGACAACUUGAAAUUCUUCCAUCAUAUGUCCUUUCGACAACUUGAAUCAAGUUUCUAGAAACCAAAUCAUUUAGGAUAUCCUCUGCCAAACUUUCAGCCUCUCGCCUAUCACCACUAUAGUUUACAACUAUCAACUUCUCAGCAAUCCACAUAUUUGUCAGAUCAAAAGCACGAAUUUCAUGGUCCUCGGGGUAAAGGCCAAAAUACAAGAAACAUGGCCUUAAUGCAAUUGGCAAAUCAUUGUAACUCAGAGCCAAUACCUUAGCACAUCCAUCUUGAAUUUUAUGACCCAUACUCUCAAGUACUCUGUUCCAUGCACGUUCUGUUCUUUCUCUUGCCCUUAACAUGCCUGCGGUCACCUCAAUGGCUAGAGGUAUACCUCCACAUCUUCCAACUAUACUUCUACCAAUAUCUACCAAGUCUGGUGAAGCAUUGGCCCAAUUAUUAUUGUUAUCAAAAGUAAAGAUUUUCUUGGUAAAGAGUUCAAAACUGUUUUCCGAAUCUAGAGGUUGCAACACGUGUAUUGAGAAAUCCCCUCCUAUGUAUCUGCCUACAUUACUAUUUCGAGAGGUUAUAAUUAUCCUACUGCCAAUUUUUGAAUCACAUUCAGGAAGGACAAGUUUUAGAUCAUCCCAAAUUUCAACAUCCCAAAUGUCAUCUAAGAGAAUAACAUACCUUUUUAUUUUCAAGAGUGAUCGUAGGUUGUUCUCCAAGUUUUCUUUCCUUUCCUCUUCCAUCAGUCCAACUUGUU
rnacentral:lncRNA from 1 species